GGCCUCGUGGCGUAACUGGUAGAGCGUGCGCGUGCAAAGCUUAGGCGGCAUCCGUGCGUGGGUUCGAAUCCCGCCGAGGCUG
rnacentral:tRNA from 1 species